rnacentral:rRNA from 1 species
CCUGAGAAACCCAAAAGAUCGAAUGGGGAGAUUCAUCGUCAGCGGUUCCGGUGCGUGUGCGGUUCGGGAUUUCGCGGGGCUUCGGCCUCGCGUGACUCGUCCGCAUUGUUUUUCUAUGCCGGAGCUCGUCGACGUGCACUUCUCCCCUAGUAGGACGUCGCGACCCGUUGGGAUGUCGGUCUACGACCCGGGUGUAUGUCUGUCGCGCUUCGCUUUGCGCAAUGCGGCAGAUCUCCGGAUGUCUGACCGACUGCCCGGCGGUACUCGCACGGUAUCGGGCCGCAUAUUUGAACUGCGUCCGGCCUUUCGCAAGCGCGGACAAGUCUUUCUCGGACGUACGGACCUAGUGCCGUCGCCGGAACUGUCCAGCUGUUGGUCGACUGUGCUCUCGGACUGGCUCUUAAUCAGCAUACCGGUCGGCGACGCUACUGCUUUGGGUACUUUCAGGA